AACAAAAACAUCGCUUUUUGUUUAUAUAAAAAGUAAGACCUGCCCAAUGAAUUAUUUAAUGGCCGCAGUAUUUUGACUGUGCAAAGGUAGCAUAAUAAUUAGUUUUUUAAUUAAAAGCUUGUAUGAAUGGUUUAAUGAAAUAUAAACUUUAUUAAUUUAAAUAUAGUAGAAUUUAAUUUUUUGGUUAAAAAGCCUAAAUUUUUUUAAAAGACGAGAAGACCCUAUAGAUCUUUAUUUAAUAAGUUUUAAAUAAUUAUAGUUUAUAUUAAUAUUUUAAUGUAUUAAAUUUUAUUGGGGUAAUAUAAAGAUUUAAUUAAUUCUUUAUUUAUAAAUACAUUGAUUUAUGAAAAUUUGAUCCUUUAUUAUGGAUUAUAAGAUUAAGUUACCUUAGGGAUAACAGCGUAAUUUUUUGAAGAGU
rnacentral:rRNA from 1 species